rnacentral:rRNA from 1 species
GAUGAACGCUGGCGGCGUGCCUAAUACAUGCAAGUCGAGCGAACGGACGAGAAGCUUGCUUCUCUGAUGUUAGCGGCGGACGGGUGAGUAACACGUGGAUAACCUACCUAUAAGACUGGGAUAACUUCGGGAAACCGUAGCUAAUACCGGAUAAUAUUUUGAACCGCAUGGUUCAAAAGUGAAAGACGGUCUUGCUGUCACUUAUAGAUGGAUCCGCGCUGCAUUAGCUAGUUGGUAAGGUAACGGCUUACCAAGGCAACGAUGCAUAGCCGACCUGAGAGGGUGAUCGGCCACACUGGAACUGAGACACGGUCCAGACUCCUACGGGAGGCAGCAGUAGGGAAUCUUCCGCAAUGGGCGAAAGCCUGACGGAGCAACGCCGCGUGAGUGAUGAAGGUCUUGGGAUCGUAAAACUCUGUUAUUAGGGAAGAACAUAUGUGUAAGUAACUGUGCACAUCUUGACGGUACCUAAUCAGAAAGCCACGGCUAACUACGUG